rnacentral:rRNA from 1 species
AUUGAACGCUGGCGGCAGGCCUAACACAUGCAAGUCGAGCGGAGCGGCGGACGGGUGAGUAAUGCCUAGGAAUCUGCCUGGUAGUGGGGGAUAACGUACGGAAACGGGCGCUAAUACCGCAUACUAUCAGAUGAGCCUAGGUCGGAUUAGCUAGUUGGUGGGGUAAAGACCUCCAAAGGCGACGAUCCGUAACUGGGCUGAGAGGAUGAUCAGUCACACUGGAACUGAGACACGGUCCAGACUCCUACGGGAGGCAUCAGGGGGGAUUAUUGGACAAUGGGGGAAAGCCUGCGCCAGCCAUGCGGGUGGGGGUAAGAAGGUCUUCGGAUGGUAAAGCACGUUAAGUUGGGAGGCGUUACCAACAGAAUAAGCAACGGCUAACUUCGUGCCAGCAGCCGCGGUAAUAC